AUGGCAACGGGAGGCCCGCCGGCCGCGGCCUACUACUCCUACUCGGCGGCGCCCGAUGGAGAAAUACGAGCGGAUCCGGGUGGUCGGGCGGGGGGCGUUCGGGAUCGUCCACCUGUGCCUGCGUCGGCUGGACCAGAAGUUGGUCAUCCUGAAGCAGAUCCCGGUGGAGCAGAUGACCAAGGACGAGCGCCUGGCGGCCCAGAACGAGUGCCAGGUGCUGAAGCUGCUGCACCACCCGCACAUCAUCGAAUACUACGAGAAUUUCCUGGAGGACAAGGCCCUGAUGAUUGCCAUGGAGUACGCGCCGGGUGGGACCUUGGCCGAAUUCAUCCAUAAACGGGGCAACUCCCUCCUGGACGAAGAGACCAUCCUGCACUUCUUCGCGCAGAUCCUGCUGGCCCUUCACCACGUCCACGCCAAGCAGAUCCUCCACCGGGACCUCAAGACCCAGAACAUCCUCCUGGACAAGCACCACACCACGGUCAAGAUCGGAGACUUCGGCAUCUCCAAGAUCCUCAGCAGCAAGAGCAAGGCCUACACUGUGGUGGGCACCCCUUGCUACAUCUCCCCGGAGCUGUGCGAAGGAAAGCCCUACAACCAGAAGAGCGACAUCUGGGCCCUGGGCUGCGUCCUCUACGAACUGGCCAGUCUGAAGAGGGCCUUCGAGGCAGCCAACCUGCCUGCUUUGGUUCUGAAGAUCAUGAGCGGCACCUUUGCGCCCAUCUCGGACCGCUACAGCCCGGAGCUGCGCCAGUUGAUCCUCAGCCUGCUCAACCUGGAGCCCUCCAAGCGGCCUCAGCUGGACGAGAUCAUGGCGGAGGCCCUCUGUGUCCAGCCCCUGCUCAACCUUUACACCGAUGUGGGCAGCGUCCGGAUGAGGAGACCCGAGAAGUCGUGGAAGGGGGUGCCUCCCGUGGCCCAGAGCAGAGCCGGGGGUGCGACUGUUGCGGCCAGAGUGAGGGGUUGUCGCUCUGGGGCGCCCAGGCCUGGCCUCCCCCCAGCCUUGUCCUCCAUCUACACCUGGGGCUCUGGCAUCACCACUCCCCUCCGCCUGCCCAUGCUGAACACGGAGGUGGUGCAGGUGUCCAUAGGCCGCACGCUUAAGGCCGGCGUGACCAAAUCCGGGCGGCUGGUCAUGUGGGAGCCACCCCCCUUUGGCAUGGUCGGGGGGCCCUCGCUCCCAGGGGCCACGGAGCAGCUGCACCCCCAGUUUGUGUGUCGCUUCCUGGAGGGCCAGUCCGGAGUGACCAUCAAGCACGUGGCCUGCGGGGAUCUCUUCACCGUCUGCUUGACAGACAGAGGGAUCGUUCUGACCUUCGGCAGUGGCAGCAGUGGCUGCUUAGGACACGGAGCCUUCGUGGACGUCAGCCAGCCCAAGAUCGUGGAGGCCCUGCUGGGAUACGAGAUCACGCAAGCCGCCUGUGGAUCCUCCCACGUCCUGGCCCUCUCCAGCGAAGGGGAAGUCUUCACCUGGGGCAGGGGCGACAACGGGCGCCUGGGGCUGGGGAACCAGGAGUCCCACAACUCCCCACAGCUGGUGCCCCUUCCCGCUGGCUACGAAGCCCAGAAGGUGCUGUGUGGCAUCGAUGCCUCCAUGAUCCUCACGUCCAACAACCAGAUCCUGGCCUGUGGCAGCAACAGGUACAACAAGCUUUGCCAGGACAGGAUUGUGUCCCCGGGGGAGCCCCUCCCCACUGCUGACCUUCAGGUGGAGGAAGUGCUGACCUUCAGCCCUGCCAACUCGGCCCCCCUGAGCCAAGAGGUCAUUGUGGGCGCGGACAUCGGAACCGCCCACUCCGCGGCCAUCACCGCCUCCGGUCAGUGCUACACCAUCGGCAGCAACCAGCAUGGGCAGCUGGGCCCCAUCUCCAGCCGGGCCAGCCGGGCCCCGUACCUGGUGGAGGGGCUCCAGGCCACCCGAGUCACCAUGGUGGGCUGUGGGGACGCCUUCACCUUGGCAGUGGGAGCAGAUGGCGAGGUCUACACCUGGGGGAAGAGCGCCCGGGGCCGCCUGGGCAGGAAGGAGGAGGAGACGAGGAGCCCGCGUCCCGUGCAGCUGGAAGAGGGGGGGCCCCCCAGCCUGGUCGUCUCAGUCUCCUGUUGCCAUGGCACUACCCUGCUGACGGCCAAGCACGUUUCAUGACCCAACUAGGGAACGUCAUCAGUGCUGAGGCUUGUGAACGGUCUUUGGUGAAGGGUCCCUCAAGGUCAUUUUCUUGCCUUUAUCUGAUGCAAUCUCAGAGCUGCUGAGCUGGCUGGGGGAUUCUGGGAGUUGAAGUCCACCCAUCUUCAAGCUUCCAAGCCGCGGUGGAAGAGUCCAGCCCGCAGUGAAUGGAGAGGAGCACGCAGGAGGAAGGACCCCCCUGGCCCCCUCCCCACCUCCCCUGGGAGGCUGAAGCUGACCCACGGACUGAGAGGGAGCCCAGCCCCCGUCCUCUCUGAAGCUUCCUGGGGUGGGAAGGGCUGCUUGGCCGGCCUGCCAAGGCGGAGGGCAGCAUCUCCUGCAGCUGGCAGGGCUCUUCCCUGGGGGGCAGGGAUUCCCCCCACUGCCUUGUUUCGGGAUCUGUCCCAGGUGCCUGUCGGAUGCGGAGAUUUGAACCCGCUCCAGCCCCUGAGACCCCCAUCAGCGAGGGAGGAUUCUGGAGCCGUUACAGGUAGUCCUCGACUUACGACCGAAACGGAGCCCCAUAUUUCCAUUGGUAAACAAGACAGGCGUUAAGCGGAUUUUGCCCCUUUCUCGCUGCAGAUGUUAAGCGAAUCACUGCUGUUGUUAAGUUUGUCACACGGUCAUUAAGUGAAUCUGGUUCUCCCCGUUGACUUUGCCGGUCGGAAGGUCGCCAAAGGGGAUCGCGUGACAGCCCCCCCCCGGGACACUGCGUCCGUCGUAAAUGCGAGUCAGUUGCCAAGGGUCUGAAUUUGGAUGGCAUAACCGUGGGGAUGCCGGCACAGUCGUUAGUGUGAGAAACGGUCCUUUUUUCCAGUGCUGUUGUAACUCCGAACGGUCGCUCAAUGAAGCAUUGUAAGUCAAGGACUACCUGUAGUUUUGGGGCACCUCCCAAACGGAACAGAGACCCCAAUUCUCUGUCUGCUGACUCCCCCCCCC